rnacentral:rRNA from 1 species
UGCCAGCAGCCGCGGUAAUACGGAAGGUGCAAGCGUUAUCCGGAAUCACUGGGUUUAAAGGGUGCGUAGGCGGUUAGAUAAGUCAGAGGUGAAAGCUCACAGCUUAACUGUGGAAUUGCCUUUGAUACUGUUUAACUUGAAUCAGGUUGAGGUUGGCGGAAUGUGACAUGUAGCGGUGAAAUGCGUAGAUCCUGUCGGGACCACCUGUGGCGAAGGCGGCUUACUGGAACAGAUCCGACGGUCAGGCACGAAAGCUAGGGUAGCAAAGCGGAUUAGAUA